rnacentral:rRNA from 1 species
UACGAAGGGAGCAAGCGUUGUCCGGAAUCAUUGGGCGUAAAGCGCGCGUAGGUGGCCUCAUAAGUCCGCUGUGAAAGUCAAAGGCUCAACCUUUGAAAGCCGGUGGAUACUGUGAGGCUAGAGUACGGAAGAGGCGAGUGGAAUUCCUGGUGUAGCGGUGGAAUGCGUAGAGAUCCGGAAGAACACCGGUGGCGAAGGCGGCCUGCUGGGCAGUUGCUGACACUGAGGCGCGACAGCGUGGGGAGCAAACAGG